rnacentral:rRNA from 1 species
CACGUAGGCACCAAGCGUUGUCCGGAUUUAUUGGGCGUAAAGAGCUCGUAGGCGGUUCAGUAAGUCGGGUGUGAAAACUUUGGGCUUAACCCAAAGCGUGCAUCCGAUACUGCUGUGACUUGAGUUCGGUAGGGGAGUGGGGAAUUCCUAGUGUAGCGGUGAAAUGCGCAGAUAUUAGGAGGAACACCGGUGGCGAAGGCGCCAACUCUGGGCCGAAACUGGAACGCUGAGGAGCGGAAAGCAUGGUAGCAAACAGG